rnacentral:rRNA from 1 species
GACAGAGGCCCCGAGCGUUAGGCGGAAUCACUGGGCUUAAAGCGUGUGUAGGCGGCUCGUUAAGUGUCUUGUGAAAUCCCACGGCUCACCCGUGGAACCGCUGGGCAUACUGGCGAUCUUGGGCCGUUCAGGGGCGACUGGAACAAGCGGUGGAGCGGUGAAAUGCGUAGAUAUCGCUUGGAACGCCGAAGGUGAAAACAGGUCGCUGGGGACGCGCCGACGCUGAGACACGAAAGCCAGGGGAGCAAACGGG